AAUGCAUUAUGAGAACUCCAGUCGUUUCUUUAUGGCAUGGCCAUGGGCGGAGACCAGGACGACAGAGGAACACAGGAAGUUGUGCGCUGCCACGCAGAUGAGUGUAGGAAGCUUUUAUUGGAAUUUAGUAAAACUCUUACCCAGCAUUCUGUUCUGGUGUCUUUUUGCGAGCCCGCAUUGUUUGGACAUAAAAUUCCAAAGUGCUUGGAAUUCACAGUCUUCCGUGAUGACUAUGCUGCUGACUUCCUGCGUUGCCUUUGUCCCUGUGGCAGGGGCAACUUAGUCCUUCCGAUGCAGAUGGUGUCAAGGAGUGGAACAUGAUUGGGUGGGCUUCCUCCCUAGCUGCCAUAGCUUCCUCGUCAGGACUCACGUUCGACAAAUCAAUACGGGGAAUGCUUGCGAUUCCAAUACACAUAUUAGGUUUAAUUAAAAAAGUUCGUCGUUGUUUCGGAACAAUUGAUUCUCCAAAUAGACAUCAUGACAUUUCAUUCUUCCUGUCGGCCAGUCACAUAAUUCCUUUGAAAUUGGCAUCGCUGCUCUGGGGCUCAGAGUCCCGGUUGACCCAAAAUCCGGAACAUUUUUCCCAACUCCCACUUAAGCAACCCAACAUUCGACCAUUAGACCUGAAUCUUAUAAAUUAUUCAGUUAAUGCUUUUAAUUAUACAAACGCAUCCUCCCACCUCA